UUGAGCAGCGUGCGACAGAGGGUGGCUAACCAGAAGACAAGUCUUUGCUGGAAACUCGGGAAUCUCGACAACGUGUGACUCCUCGCGCCGAAACGGCGCCGAGGCUUCCCCUUCCCAGCCGUCGGCGGUGGGGCUGUGUUUGAAUCACCGGUGGCUCAGCGUGGUGCCCUGCAGCCCAGGGUCCAGGCUCACAGACCCUCGGCCUGUGCGUCUGCUGCAAAGUCUGGGACUGCAUCUCGUUGUCUGAAGCUAAUCUAUACGCUUGAGAGGGGCCCCACCCGGUGACCUCACGGAACCCCCUGACUCCAGCCCAUC
ensembl:lncRNA